rnacentral:rRNA from 1 species
UUAUCUCUGUAGAGUCUGCAUAUCAAUAAGCGGAGGAAAAGAAACUAACAAGGAUUCCCUUAGUAACGGCGAGUGAAGCGGGAAGAGCUCAAAUUUGAAAUCUUCAAGGUUUUACCUUGACGAAUUGUAGUUUAAAGAAGUGUUUUCUGUUGAAGUUUUGGUAAAAGUUCUUUGGAAUAGGACAUCAUAGAGGGUGAGAAUCCCGUAUUUGACCAUUAUUUUCAGCUGUGUGAUACACUUUCAAAGAGUCGGAUUGUUUGGGAAUGCAGUCCAAAAUGGGUGGUAAAUUUCAUCUAAAGCUAAAUAUUGGCGAGAGACCGAUAGCGAACAAGUACCGUGAGGGAAAGAUGAAAAGAACUUUGAAAAGAGAGUUAAACAGUACGUGAAAUUGUCAAAAGGGAAGCGUUUGACACCAGUGUUGUUUUCUCGAAAAUCAAUUAAAAAAAGUUGGAUUUUGUAUUGUUAAGACCUUAUCAGCUUACUGUACUCUUUUCUUGCUUUUUUUAAUGCACUUUUCGCUUAACGAGUCAACAUCAAUUUCUUUUGUUGUAAAAGAGUCAUUGGAAGGUGGCUUUCACUUCGGUGAAAGUGUUUAUAGCCUUUGGCUUCUGCAAUCGGAGAGAUUGAGGUCUGCAGCGUAGAUCCUUCGGGGCUAGAUACGUAGAUGCUAAGUUAUAGUUUUUUAUAGACAACUUGUUGACUAUAAUUAAUCAUGUAGCUUACUCGUUUGCGCUAUUUUACCUACGCUUAGGAUGUUGAUCUGUAGUGCGUGCGC